AGAUGGUAUGGAUCCUAACCGGAUCUCUUUGACCCGUUUUCCCUCUUAUGGAUCCAAUAUAAGGUUUCUUUCCAUCCUUUCUAAACCCUAAAUUCAUUUCAUCUACAGCCGCUCCUCCUUCUUUCUCUCUCUAGCGAUUUUCAAUUUAGGGUUUCACGAGAUCUAUGGUAUGAGCAAGAUCUCACCAGAUCCAACAAUGGUGUGGUCUGUAAAAGUGGUCAAGACAAGAUCUACGCUUCAAGAUCAGUCGAUUCAACCCGAGGUAAACCCGAGGUUUCUCCAGGCGAAUCUAGGGUUUCUUUAUCAGUCGCUUCAAGAUCCACGCUUCCUCAGUGAUGAAUCUCUCUAGAUCCGACACCAGAUCAACUGAUUACCUGGUGGUUGUGGGUGGAAGAUGGUGGCGAUGAGACAAAGAUCUACCGUUUGGUGGCCAGAUCUACCGUUUGAAGUUGAAGGUACUGGCCAGAUCUUAACUCAGUUUCACGGCAAAAUUUAUCUGAAUUUUCAGCUGGUGUGUUCACGUUCACGUUUACGGUAAAUCUGGUAUAACUAUUUGUUUGUUAUUGAUUAAAAUCUGUUUUUAAAGCUGUGAUUGACUAAUUUUUUGUUGUGUUAUAAUCGGAUUUGUUGUUGUAGCUGAUUGAAGAUGAAUUUAAUGAUUAAUAACUGUUUUGUUAGGCUUUUUUUGUUUAAUUUUGAUUGUUAUUGAUUGAAAUCUGUUUAUGAACUGUGAUUAAAUGAUUUCAUUUUUUUAAUCGGAUGUGUUUGUUAUAGUUGAUGAAAGAAGGAUUAGAUGAAUAUAACUGUUUUGAACUUUUAUCUACUUUUGCUGCUGACUCCACAGAUUCUCCGAAGAUUGACGGUUUUUGGUGGGGCUGAGACAACGAGUACAGCCCGAGCAAAGAGAGGGAACCAUUCCAACUGGAGUAAUUGCUGGAGAAGCAGGGGUUCUUUUUUUCUAUAUAGCAGGUUCUGAGUUUGAGGAAAUAGAGCGGUGCUAAUGCCAGCAAUGUAGGGGAUGAUAGGCCGAGCUAGGACAAGAACAUGGAAGGCUCUUGCUUUUGGCAUUCUUAUUAUGGAUAAGAUGGACGUGAGUUGCUGCAACGUCGGGUUCAAAGAUACCCCAUACCAGUUAUUUAUGUCAAAAAGCAAUUAAGUUGGGUGAAGAAGGAUCGUUUACUCAAGAGAACUACAGUUUGGCAAUUCGUGCCCUUGAAGAUGUUUUUGCAACUUACGUGUGCGCAAAUAACUCCAAUAAGAACCUUAUGGAACCUGGAACGUCAACUGUUUCAGGUGUUUUUAAGGAUCGAAGAGGAUAAUCGAGGCAGAAACAUGUGUACGAUAAAAGAAAAAAAAAAGGAAACCUAUGAAGAAAAAGAAGGUACAUUUGGCAACCUUAUGCAAAUUUUACAAAUAUUCUAUAUAUUUUAUAU